rnacentral:rRNA from 1 species
GAUGAACGCUAGCGGCAGGCCUAACACAUGCAAGUCGAGGGAUAAGCCUUCGGGCUGAAACCGGCGCACGGGUGCGUAACGCGUAUACAAUCUGCCUUUCACAUAGGGAUAGCCCGGAGAAAUUUGGAUUAAUACCUAAUGGGAUAUAAGAGUGGCAUCAUUUUUAUAUUAAAGCUUUGGUGGUGAAAGAUGAGUAUGCGUUCUAUUAGCUAGUUGGAGAGGUAACGGCUCCCCAAGGCGACGAUAGAUAGGGGUUCUGAGAGGAAUGUCCCCCACACUGGUACUGCGAUACGGACCAGACUCCUACGGGAGGCAGCAGUGAGGAAUAUUGGACAAUGGUCGGAAGACUGAUCCAGCCAUGCCGCGUGCAGGACGACGGUCCUAUGGAUUGUAAACUGCUUUUGUAAGGGAAGAAUAAGGAGUACGUGUACUUUGAUGACGGUACCUUACGAAUAAGCAUCGGCUAACUCCGUG